AACGAACGCUGGCGGCAUGCCUAACACAUGCAAGUCGAACGAUCCCUUCGGGGAUAGUGGCGCACGGGUGCGUAACGCGUGGGAACCUGCCCUUAGGUUCGGAAUAACUCAGAGAAAUUUGAGCUAAUACCGGAUAAUGUCUUCGGACCAAAGAUUUAUCGCCUUUGGAUGGGCCCGCGUUGGAUUAGCUAGUUGGUGGGGUAAAGGCCUACCAAGGCGACGAUUCAUAGCUGGUCUGAGAGGAUGAUCAGCCACACUGGGACUGAGACACGGCCCAGACUCCUACGGGAGGCAGCAGUGGGGAAUAUUGGACAAUGGGCGAAAGCCUGAUCCAGCAAUGCCGCGUGAGUGAUGAAGGCCUUAGGGUUGUAAAGCUCUUUUACCCGGGAUGAUAAUGACAGUACCGGGAGAAUAAGCCCCGGCUAACUCCGUG
rnacentral:rRNA from 1 species